GAGGGUAUAGCUCAGGGGUAGAGCACAUGCUUAGCAUGCACAAUGUCCUGGGUUCAGUCCCCAGCACCUCCA
rnacentral:tRNA from 1 species